rnacentral:misc_RNA from 1 species
UCCUCGUUUAAGCGAGGCAGUCUCCUUAGAGUGCUCUUGCGUAGCAACUAAGGACAAGGGUUGCGCUCGUUGCGGGACUUAACCCAACAUCUCACGACACGAGCUGACGACAGCCAUGCAGCACCUGUGUAUCGGUUCUCUUUCGAGCACCCCCACCUUUCAGCAGGGUUCCGACCAUGUCAAGGGUAGGUAAGGUUUUUCGCGUUGCAUCGAAUUAAUCCACAUCAUCCACCGCUUGUGCGGGUCCCCGUCAAUUCCUUUGAGUUUUAAUCUUGCGACCGUACUCCCCAGGCGGUCAACUUCACGCGUUAGCUAC